rnacentral:rRNA from 1 species
UACGUAGGGUGCAAGCGUUAUCCGGAAUUAUUGGGCGUAAAGAGCUCGUAGGCGGUUUGUCGCGUCUGCUGUGAAAACUGGGGGCUCAACCCCCCAGCCUGCAGUGGGUACGGGCAGACUAGAGUGCGGUAGGGGAGAUUGGAAUUCCUGGUGUAGCGGUGGAAUGCGCAGAUAUCAGGAGGAACACCGAUGGCGAAGGCAGAUCGUCUGGGCCGUGAACUGACGCUGAGGAGCGAAAGCAUGGGGAGCGAACAGG